GACGAACGCUGGCGGCGUGCCUAAUACAUGCAAGUAGAACGCUGAAGAGAGGAGCUUGCUCUUCUUGGAUGAGUUGCGAACGGGUGAGUAACGCGUAGGUAACCUGCCUUGUAGCGGGGGAUAACUAUUGGAAACGAUAGCUAAUACCGCAUAACAAUGGAUGACACAUGUCAUUUAUUUGAAAGGGGCAAUUGCUCCACUACAAGAUGGACCUGCGUUGUAUUAGCUAGUAGGUGAGGUAAUGGCUCACCUAGGCGACGAUACAUAGCCGACCUGAGAGGGUGAUCGGCCACACUGGGAAUGCGACCCGGCCCAGACUCCUAAGGGAGGCAGCAGUAGGGAAUCUUCGGCAAUGGGGGCAACCCUGAACGAGCAACGCCGCGUGAGUGAAGAAGGUUUUCGGAUCGUAAAGCUCUGUUGUAAGUCAAGAACGGGUGUGAGAGUGGAAAGUUCACAAUGUGACGGUAGCUUACCAGAAAGGGACGGCUAACUACGUG
rnacentral:rRNA from 1 species